rnacentral:lncRNA from 1 species
AUACUGAGCAAUAAUUUGUGCCACCACUUUCCCUCUCAUUAUAAUUGUUUAAAAUUUGAAGAAAACUAAUAAAGCAGGAUAGGGACGGAGCAAUAUCAUGGCAAAAGGUUUGGGAUUUGCUUGCAGAACACAAUUUCUCAAGUUCUUAAAAACCUUUAAAAUUGUCUUUUCUUUCUCCUUUUUGCCCAUUUCUUCUCAUAUAUUUGUUGCACAACAGUAAAAAGAUCUGAUACAAAGUCUAGUGAAACUGUUUUUACUGCUUUCUCAUACACAAAUUUGAAGAAGAACUAGUAAUGAAAGCAUUACUUUCUUCUUGAUCUAAUCCAUCGGAAGAAAACUCAGUAAUUUCACUUGCACUUGGUGAAGUAGGUUGAGGAGGACCAAAGACAGAGCAGUCUUCCACUGUAAAAUCAAUACAACUUGGCAUGGUCACUGCACUAGUUGUCUGACUUUUGUUAGAAACGGCUCUAUGUUUUUUAGCUUUUCUCUUUCUCUGAAACACCCGAAAAACUAACCAAUCUCCAAACAAUUCCCUCUUGGACACCUGCAUAUAUGGCAAAUCCAUAGCUAAGAAAAUGAUUUUAAUCAAAAUCUUUGAUAACUGCAACUUAUAUUUGCAGAAAUGAGCUAUCCUACAAAGUUUGUUGUUAUAUUACCUGGGUUGAAUCAAGAGUUGCCGCUGCCGCGGCCGCAAAGCCAACCAGGCGAUAUUGAUGCAAAAGCCAUUGAUUCUUAGUCUCAUUAGAACGCUUCCCUUCACAAAAAAUCAAAGCUUUUCUCAUCCCAACUACUUGAUUGCCUCCAGAAGCUAAAAUUGGCUUCUCUUUGCCUAUUGGCUUCCAGUAGCCAGAACCAGCUACUCUCUUGCAUUUGUUGUUACUGCCAGUACCAUAUCUUGUGCUAAAGAAAUACCUAUUUUCUUUCAAAUCACCUGAAAACCAACAAAAAUUAAGAUCUUUUAUAAAACCCUUAUUUAGUGCUCAAGACAUGAUAAGUUCCACUUCUAAUACUACAAAUUCUCAAGCUGCAAAUUUAUAGGACAUGUUAGAUAAUGGCAGACAGUUUUGUUUCCUAAACUUUAACAAAGCUUAGCGUUCUCCGUUACCAUAACUUCCCUUAUCGUAUGGAAUCCUCAUAGAUAACAGUAUUAAGAGAAUUUGAAGGAUAAGGACAUGAACAAGGAUCUGAUAAACAGAAAAUUAAUAAAGUUGGGUUUCAAAGAACUAGAAAUUAAAAGCAUUAACUUUGAAGGGCAACUAACCUGGCAAGCUCCAAGGAUCAGUCUGGAAAACAUCAAACUCAGGAAUAACAGAAGCAGGUAAUGGAAGACUUAAAGCCUUUCUCUUCAAGUAAUGAACCACAAGCUCUUCCUCUGUAGGACGGAACCUGAAGCCGAUGGGCAUCUUGAUCCCUCCAUUUACAACAAAGUUUUGGCUUUCCAUCCUUAAAAUCUUAAGAAACCUCCUCAACCAGCUAUGUUAAGUUCGUAUCUUUUGCUUGACUGAUCUCUCAACCAACCAAACUUGACCUAACUUAGCUGAUUGAAAUCAAGCAUAGUAACCC